GCAUAUAGUGCCCUCUGAAUAUGAAGUGAAAGAUUACGAAUGUAUAAAACGCAAACUCAAAAAAAUGCUCCACUGAACCUUCUCGAAUUUCCUCCCUCGAUGGGACAAUGGGGAGGCAAAUCUAAACGGGGGAAAGCAAGACGAAAAAGCUUUUGUAUUCGGGAUCGCGCCACUCAGUAUCUGUAUUUGGGUAUGAUCACUUCAGUGAAGAUUGUGAAAACCAUAAGAGGUGCAUAGAAAGUGGUCUGACAAGUUAGUAAAAACUAUACCAAAAGUUAUACCAAAAUAGUUAGAAUUGGUGAACAAACAAAACUUUGUGGGAGUCUCCACAUUUAUAUUUGAAAAUUAACAAAAGGAAGCCUAAAAAGGAAGCCAGGUGAGAUCGAUUGUGCUUCGAUCUCCGUUUAAUAAGGUUAAAACCCGCAUCGUAGUGGGUUUUUUGUUGGAGUUUGGAAGUCACAUGCCAACCACGUGACCCUACCAUACGUCGUCGGGCCCCUCGGAAGAAAAACCAUUUUCGCUUUUCUUGAGUAACGCCUCCCACCGUGAAGAAGGGAAACCCCACGCUACGGAAUACGCUCUCGCCGUUCGGUGGUCGGCAGUCAAACUAUACACCACAGUUGAGUUUAGACUGGGAGUACAGCCACCCGGUUACGUGGCAGAGAUACAAUACACGUGUGAGUAACGCAUAGCGGUGACAACUCUAACACCGACGACAGAGUACGCCAUCUGGGGAUUGGCUCAAGAAUCCGACGUUUGAAACUACCGCAGCCUGAAGCAACUUUGUACCGAGAAAUUGUUCGAGAGUCGACUCAACAGAAAACAGGUCAGAUCCACAAAAUGUAUUUAGAAUUAGAUGAAGCUAGGAAGAAUCUGGUCCCGGGACAAGUUAGGCACGAUAUGUAGAAUAAUACACGUAUAAAAGCUCAAGAAUUCUUUGACAUUCAACUCAUCCCAUGGUCGAAGCAACCUUUUUUGAAGUGAACGGUUCGUUGUAGUUUUUAGUUUCUUUUUAGUACUUUUUCGCUUAUUUCAACUUGGUUAAACCUUAGUCGGAUUAUAAUCUUCGGAGUCUUUGACGGGUGGGUGAUGGAAGAGGUAUACGG